CCUACGGGUGGCAGCAGUGGGGGAUAUUGCACAAUGGGGGGAACCCUGAUGCAGCGACGCCGCGUGGGGGAAGAAGCGCCUCGGCGCGUAAAGCCCUGUCAGCAGGGAAGAAAAUGACGGUACCUGAAGAAGAAGCCCCGGACAACUACGUGCCAGCAGCCGCGGCAAUACGUAGGCGGCAAGCGUUAUCCGGAUUUACUGGGCGUAGAGGGGGCGGAGACGGCGGUGGAAGCCAGGAGUGAAAGCCCGGGGCCCAACCCCGGGACUGCCCUUGGAACUGCGUGGCUGGAGUGCAGGUGGGGCAGGCGGAAUUCCUGGUGUAGCGGUGAAAUGCUUAGAUAUCAGGAGGAACACCGGUGGCGAAGGCAGCCUGCUGAACUGCAACUGACGUUGAGGCCCGAAAGCGUGGGGAGCAAACAGGAUUAGAUACCCGAGUAGUC
rnacentral:rRNA from 1 species